rnacentral:rRNA from 1 species
GACAGAGGGGGCAAGCGUUGCUCGGAAUCACUGGGCGUAAAGGCGCGUAGGCGGGAUGGCAAGUCAGUCGUGAAAUCUCUCGGCUCAACCGAGAAACGUCGGCUGAUACUGCCGUUCUUGAGGGAUGCAGAGGAGACUGGAAUUCCCGGUGUAGCGGUGAAAUGUGUAGAGAUCGGGAGGAACACCGGUGGCGAAGGCGGGUCUCUGGGCAAUUCCUGACGCUGAGGCGCGAAAGCAUGGGAGCGAACAGG